rnacentral:lncRNA from 1 species
ACGAGGAGUGCAGAGGAGGUGCUGAUGAUUGCGGGGAGAGCUCUGAGAGCCCGAGAAAGAUGGGGAAACUGAAGCCCUAGAGGAAAAGAAGACUAAAUGUAUCACCAUCUGACCCACUUCCUGGCCAGCCUGUUCACCUGUCUGCUGUUCUUCAUUGAACAAGAGAAGGAAUCACAAUUGGUCCAUGACAGUCACGGUCAUCUCAUUCCUCUUGCCAGUGGCAGGUGUAUGUGUGAGUUUGCAGCUCAAUCCUGGCCAAGGGGAUCCAAGGACUGCUGAAGAGGCAUGUCUGCACAUGUCACCUAGAACAUCUCCAGCCAUCAUGUGAUCUCUGGGGGAGGCAUUCCCAAAUCUCUGAGAGAAGCAGACCAGAAAGAUGGAAAGAAAGCACCUGGCUCCAGGAUGAUGACAUUGAGCCGAUGAAUUAACCACCUUUGUGCUGCUCUAACCUUCAGAGUUCACCUUAACAUGAGAAAAUAAAACCCUUAUUGCUUA